GACGAACGCUGGCGGCGUGCUUAACACAUGCAAGUCGAACGGAAAGGCCCUGCUUUUGUGGGGUGCUCGAGUGGCGAACGGGUGAGUAACACGUGAGUAACCUGCCCUUGACUUUGGGAUAACUUCAGGAAACUGGGGCUAAUACCGGAUAGGAGCUCCUGCUGCAGGGGGGGGGUUGGAAAGUUUCGGCGGUUGGGGAUGGACGCGCGGCUUAUCAGCUUGUUGGUGGGGUAGUGGCUUACCAAGGCUUUGACGGGUAGCCGGCCUGAGAGGGUGACCGGCCACCUUGGGACUGAGAUACGGCCCAGACUCCUACGGGAGGCAGCAGUGGGGAAUAUUGCACAAUGGGCGGAAGCCUGAUGAAGCAACGCCGCGUGCGGGAUGACGGCCUUCGGGUUGUAAACCGCUUUCGCCUGUGACGAAGCGUGAGUGACGGUAAUGGGUAAAGAAGCACCGGCUAACUACGUG
rnacentral:rRNA from 1 species